UCCCUGAAAGACUAGUGGUUAGGCCUCAGCGCGCUGUAGCCCGGGUUCGAUUCCAGGCCAGGGAA